AGGUACAGCCCUACCCCCCUGAAUGCACCUGAUCUUGUCUGAUCUCAGAAGCUAAGCAGGGUCUGGCCUGGUUAGUACUUGGAUGGGAGACUGCAUGGGAAUACCAGGUGUUGUAGGCU
ensembl:rRNA 5S_rRNA 5S ribosomal RNA